rnacentral:rRNA from 1 species
GACGAACGCUGGCGGCGUGCUUAACACAUGCAAGUCGAACGGAAAGGCCCUGCUUUUGUGGGGUGCUCGAGUGGCGAACGGGUGAGUAACACGUGAGUAACCUGCCCUUGACUUUGGGAUAACUUCAGGAAACUGGGGCUAAUACCGGAUAGGAGCUCCUGCUGCAUGGUGGGGGUUGGAAAGUUUCGGCGGUUGGGGAUGGACUCGCGGCUUAUCAGCUUGUUGGUGGGGUAGUGGCUUACCAAGGCUUUGACGGGUAGCCGGCCUGAGAGGGUGACCGGCCACGUUGGGACUGAGGUACGACCCAGACUCCUACGGGAGGCAGCAGUGGGGAAUAUUGCACAAUGGGCGGAAGCCUGAUGCAGCAACGCCGCGUGCGGGAUGACGGCCUUCGGGUUGUAAACCGCUUUCGCCUGUGACGAAGCGUGAGUGACGGUAAUGGGUAAAGAAGCACCGGCUAACUACGUG